AUUUGUAAAUGUCGUUCUUUCGUUUCGUUUUUUAUUGCGUUGAUUGCGUGUUUUAUUUUCGUAACUUGUGCGACUAAGAAAUCGAAGGGAAUGAUGAUCCG
rnacentral:ribozyme from 12 species